rnacentral:rRNA from 1 species
GUCAGAGUUUGAUCCUGGCUCAGAUUGAACAACUGGCGGCAUGCCUUACACAUGCAAGUCGAACGGCAGCACGGGUGCUUGCACCUGGUGCGAGUGGCGGAACGGGUGAGUAAUACAUCGGAACGUACCUUAUCGUGGGGGAUAACGCAGCGAAAGUUGCGCUAAUACCGCAUACGCCCUGAGGGGGAAAGCGGGGGAUCGCAAGACCUCGCGCGACUGGAGCGGCCGAUAUCAGAUUAGGUAGUUGGUGGGGUAAAGGCUCACCAAGCCAACGAUCUGUAGCUGGUCUGAGAGGU